rnacentral:rRNA from 1 species
UACGGAGGGUGCAAGCGUUAUCCGGAUUCACUGGGUUUAAAGGGUGCGUAGGCGGAUUAGAAAGUCCGUUGUGAAAUCUCUGAGCUUAACUCGGAAAUUGCGGUGGAUACUAUUAGUCUUGAAUACUGUGGAGGUUAGCGGAAUAUGUCAUGUAGCGGUGAAAUGCAUAGAUAUGACAUAGAACACCAAUUGCGAAGGCAGCUGGCUACACAGAAUAUUGACGCUGAGGCACGAAAGCGUGGGGAGCAAACAGG